UAUGGCCAUAUUACAUUGAAACAUUGGUUCUCGUAUGAUCACCAAAAUUAAGCAACCUUGAGCCGGGUCAGUACCUAGAUGGGUGACCACGUAAGAAUACCAGGU